CCUACGGGAGGCAGCAGUAGGGAAUCUUCCGCAAUGGACGAAAGUCUGACGGAGCAACGCCGCGUGAACGAUGAAGGCCUUCGGGUCGUAAAGUUCUGUUGUUAGGGAAGAACAAGUGUUAGUUGAAUAAGCUGGCACCUUGACGGUACCUAACCAGAAAGCCACGGCUAACUACGUGCCAGCAGCCGCGGUAAUACGUAGGUGGCAAGCGUUGUCCGGAAUUAUUGGGCGUAAAGCGCGCGCAGGCGGUUUCUUAAGUCUGAUGUGAAAGCCCCCGGCUCAACCGGGGAGGGUCAUUGGAAACUGGGAAACUUGAGUGCAGAAGAGGAAAGUGGAAUUCCAAGUGUAGCGGUGAAAUGCGUAGAGAUUUGGAGGAACACCAGUGGCGAAGGCGACUUUCUGGUCUGUAACUGACGCUGAGGCGCGAAAGCGUGGGGAGCAAACAGGAUUAGACACCCUGGUAGUCCACGCUGUAAACGAUGAGUGCUAAGUGUUAGAGGGUUUCCGCCCUUUAGUGCUGAAGUUAACGCAUUAAGCACUCCGCCUGGGGAUCGGUCGCAAGACUGAAACUCAAAGNUAGUGCGNGNGAGCGCGACGACGACGACGACGGAGGAGG
rnacentral:rRNA from 1 species